AUCUGGUGGUUUAGAGGGUAAAGAAUCUGCCUGCAAUGCAGGAGACCCAGGUUUGAGCCCUGGAUCAGAAA
rnacentral:tRNA from 1 species